UAAGGAAUAUUGGGCAAUGGACGCAAGUCUGACCCAGCCAUGCCGCGUGCAGGAUGACGGCCCUACGGGUUGUAAACUGCUUUUGUACGGGAAAAAACCCCCAGUCGUGCAUUGGGGCUGAUGGUACCGUAAGAAUAAGCAUCGGCUAACUCCGUGCCAGCAGCCGCGGUAAUACGGAGGAUGCAAGCGUUAUCCGGAUUCAUUGGGUUUAAAGGGUCCGCAGGCGGAACUGUAAGUCAGGGGUGAAAUCCUACGGCUCAACCGUAGAACUGCCCUUGAUACUGCUGUUCUAGAGUACAGUUGAGGUGGGCGGAAUGUGUCAUGUAGCGGUGAAAUGCAUAGAUAUGACACAGAACACCGAUCGCGAAGGCAGCUCACCAAGCUGUAACUGACGCUCAGG
rnacentral:rRNA from 1 species